rnacentral:SRP_RNA from 1 species
GGAAGGUUGGCCUGGGCGAAUUACUCGCCAACUCGGUCAGGUCCGAAAGGAAGCAGCCGUAACGAGAUCCAUUCGGGUCAGUGUCCAACCUUCCAUU